GCUGUAUGAAUGUCUUCUUUUGAGAAAUGUCUGUUCAUAUCCUUUGCCCACUUUUUGAUGGGGUUGUUUGUUUUUUCUUGUAAAUUUGUUUGAGUUCUUUGUAGGUUCUGGAUAUUAGCCCUUUGUCAGAUGAGUAGAUUGCAAAAAUUUUCUCCCAUUCUGUAGGUUGCCUGUUCACUCUGAUGGUAGUUUCUUUUGCUGUGCAGAAGCUCUUUAGUUAAAAGAAACUUUUAAUAUAGAAAGGGAAAAGUCUUAGGAAGGUAGAUUUCACUCCCCACUUCCAUGACUCAUUAAGCAAAAUCUGUCAAGGCAGGUCUGGGGACUUUGCAUUGACAUUUCUUCACCAGUAUUAGCUUCCCAAAGGUCAAAGAGUAGGUGCUUACAUGUGCAUAACCAGAACAUUCCAAAGAGUGAACUCGCCCAGAAGCGAGAGUGGUAUGCCUCAAAGAAAAAUUCUCACUUCCUUACUUAAGUACAGGGCAAAAAAAAAAAAAAAAAAAAAAAAAAUCACAAUAAGCUUAGAACAUACCCAUUUUGUUCCAGUUUCAGUAAACCAAAUAUUGAAAUGUUCAGCUGUAGAGCAGUUUUUUCAAAACUUGGGGACGAUGUGACUAAGUACAGAUAGCCAAUGGCAAAUAUUUGUCAUCCGUGUGUAUUACUACUAAUAAUGAAUACUUAUUGAGUGAGUACUAUAUGCCAGGGAUGGUGCUUAGCACUUUACAUGCAUUCUCUUCUUUAAUCCUCGGAAAAUUUUAUGGAAAGGCACAAUGAUGCAUUCAGGGUGUGGUUUAGGGUGUGGCUGGCUUGGCGCCCAAAUCCUACCAUUUAUUCUUCCUCUUCUCCAGAGUUCCCAGCCAAAGAGCAUAUUCACCAAAGAAUCAGCAGCCAUAUGGACACCUAUGCUAUACAAGCUCUCGCCACGGAUGUGAUAGUGAGUCCACAGAGCUGGAUAAGACCCAGGACUUCGAAGAGAACUAGUGGGAAAAUAUGAAACAUAUGUAUAGAAUUCUCCUAAAAAUAAUUCAUUUUGAUACUUAAUAUGUAACAAUAAUGUGAAUAAUUAUAAUUGAAGGCAGCAUGAUAUAAGGGCCAUUAAAAUAUAUGGGCAAGUGGUUAUUCCAGUUGAGGCAAUAAGGAAGCGAUCUGGGAAAUUUUGAUUACAUUUUGAUAUAUGACAAGUAGAGAAUGGUUUUGUUACAAAAGGAAAAAUGGUAGGACUCAUGUCUUUGCAAGUGGCAAGUUGAAUUUGACGUUGUUUGACCUGAAUGUCAAACAUAGGCACACAUUCAGGGGAUACAAAUAGUGAGCCUGGUUGCUCAUGUCAAAAAUUUCAAACUAUAUUUCAUAGGCAGUGAAAAAUUUUUGAAGAGUUCUGAUUAGGGGAACCCUGUGAUUAGAAAGUGACUUAAGAACCUAUCGGCAAUAUAAAGAUUUGAAUUGGAGACAGGCAAGAAAAGAGGCAAGGAAGGCAGCUGGAAUUCUCUUUGACUAGCCUAGAGGCGAGGUGGACAUGUACAGUCCUU
rnacentral:lncRNA from 1 species